UGGUUUGGUUACUGGUUAGUUGUUUACUUCUCUUUUUACUACGGAUUGAAAGUCAAAAGCACAAAAUAGCUAAUGCAAUUAUUGGGAAUUUGUCAUAUAUGUCCCAAAGACAUGGUGAUUAGAUUUUCAAUCUUUUCAUAUACUAUUCAAUCCCUCUUUAUCUUCCUUAAUUUCCUCUUCAUAACCGCAUCUUCAUCAUCCCAACACCAUAGUGAAACUAAUGAUGAUGCUCUGACAAGGCUCGCCUUCAACGGAGAUUCUAACUUCAUACACGGUUGAUAAAUACAAGAUGAUUAUAUUGAAGGCUUACAGCCUUACAGGUGAUUGAGGUUUGAAUUAUAAGCCAACUGAUAUUAUUAAGAGGCACAAGUGCAACUUCAAACUAUGAUUGAAGUGUUAGCGACCGAGCUAUGGGAUGGAACAAGUUGAGGCAUUUGGUUGAAAUGAAGUUGGUGGAUCAUACACGGAGUCAGACACAUGAAGUAGUCUUCUUUUUCCAUUCCAUUCAUUGUAAAUCAUUGCAUUCUUGAAAUGAAGUUUGGAAUAUUCUAUUGGUCAUUUAGUUAACAAGGGAGCCUGUUACCAAUUUUUAACCUUCCUUUCCUUACCUCCAUCUAUCAUUGAAAGUGUUGGCGCUCGCUGCUAAUGCAGCAAGGGACAACGACGGAACAGGAUUAGUACAAUGUCAAAUUCAGUGAGCUCUGUGAUGUGACAAUUCCUGUUGCGGCGGAGUUGUACAAAAGGAUUUACACCUAGGUACUAGCUUUUUUUAAGAAUUUGUUUUAGUUUUGAAGUUCAUAUAAUAAAUGUAUAAGCUUGAAUUUGAGCAUUCUGGUUUGAAAUCUUAAUGCCAAAUUGUUGAAGAUUGUUUACAGUGAUUAUUCUU